GAGUUGUAUUUUGGAAGAUAUAUCCUUUUAAUGCCAAUAUAUUUCUCCGAUGAUUCUAAGCCAAACUGUUCAUUCCCUGAACGGUUGAAUGCUUUUUUUAAAUGAUUUGAGGCUUAAAUGGUCACAUUUUUUAUUCAUUAUUGGUCGAUCUUAAUAACAAAACAUUGUUCUGCCCUGGUGUUAUGUCUAAAAAACAAUCGAGUAUGCUUGCUGACUUCUUACAGACUUUCUUUUUGUUUAAAACAUGGAUAAGAUGUGCCUAUUAUGUAUAUCGUCUAAAAAUCAUUAAAGAAACAGUUUCCACUACCGUACUCCGAGAAAUACGAUUUAUCUCCAUUAUGAUUGUAUGCAUGAAUGUGUGUAUUGGAUAAAUUGCUAUUUUUUUCAUGAUAUAAUGUUAUCUGAAAAAAAAUGUUCAUUGCAAUGAGACAACUAUCCACCUAAGUUAAAAUGAGGUAAACAUAGGCAGUUUUAGGCAACUGUAUGGACUUUAACAAAGAGAACACCUAAUACAUGUUUUAUAAUUUUUCAUGAUAUGUUGUUAUAUUUAAAAUAAAUCUCAUGCAUGUGUAGGCUCUUUGUAUAAUGAAUAUUUAUUUGCACAGUACGUCAGCUUAAGUGUGUUGAUAUGCAGGCGGAAACCUAGUUGAUAUGAAACAAAAGAAAUGAAAGUAUUAGAGAAGGUAAAAGAGGCGAACUUGGUGAAUUUUGAACUGUUUACAUCCGUUUGUAGGGCUUUUAAAGUUUAAUGGAUGUGUCUAAUGUAGGAUUUUAUGCCUCUCAUGUCAUGCAUGUAACUAUUUGUUUUACUUAAAUUAGUGAAUUGAGCUUCGAGAUAUUUGUAAACUUGUGUGUGUGAGUGAGUGAGUGUGUGUGUGUGUGUGUGUGUGUGUGUGUAUGAUGGAUACAUUGUUACUUUUUAAUCAUGAUAUAUUCUUAUCAUAAAACAAAUAUCCAAACAUGUCUUAUAAUUUUUUCUUGACAAAAUCUCCUUAAUAUCCAGAUAUAAUAAACUAUACAUAUGCCGC
rnacentral:lncRNA from 1 species